rnacentral:rRNA from 1 species
UACGUAGGUGGCAAGCGUUGUCCGGAUUUACUGGACGUAAAGAGCGCGCAGGCGGUCGUUCAAGUCGCGUGUGAAAGCCCCCGGCUCAACUGGGGAGGGUCACGCGAUACUGAUCGACUCGAAGGCAGGAGAGGGUAGUGGAAUUCCCGGUGUAGUGGUGAAAUGCGUAGAUAUCGGGAGGAACACCAGUGGCGAAGGCGACUACCUGGCCUGUUCUUGACGCUGAGGCGCGAAAGCUAGGGGAGCAAACGGG